rnacentral:rRNA from 1 species
AGUUUGAUUAUGGCUCAGGAUGAACGCUAGCUACAGGCUUAACACAUGCAAGUCGAGGGGCAGCAUGAUCUAGCUUGCUAGAAUUGAUGGCGACCGGCGCACGGGUGAGUAACGCGUAUCCAACCUUCCCUAUAGUAGAGGAUAGCCCGGCGAAAGUCGGAUUAAUACUCUAUGUUGUUCAAUGCGGACAUCUAAGUUGAACCAAAGGUUUACCGCUAUAGGAUGGGGAUGCGUCUGAUUAGAUGGUAGGCGGGGUAACGGCCCACCUAGUCGACGAUCAGUAGGGGUUCUGAGAGGAAGGUCCCCCACAUUGGAACUGAGACACGGUCCAAACUCCUACGGGAGGCAGCAGUGAGGAAUAUUGGUCAAUGGGCGAGAGCCUGAACCAGCCAAGUAGCGUGCAGGAUGACGGCCCUAUGGGUUGUAAACUGCUUUUAUAUAGGGAUAAAGUGCACCACGUGUGGUGUUUUGUAGGUACUAUAUGAAUAAGGACCGGCUAAUUCCGUGCCAGCAGCCGC